AUUCGAACAUGAGAAUUUCAAAAUUGCUUAGUUUAGAUUCUUGACUAAUGAUUUAAUUUGAUUAUAUAAUUAUCUUGGGUAAAAGUCAUACAUUACUUUUGCCCCAAAAUAAUAAUUUGGUGUUAAAUCAUCCAUCAAAUCAAUUGGUUUUUUUAACCAUAUUAUUUGGCCGAUUUUAUUUUGAUUGAAAUUAAAAUUUGAAACUUUAUAAUUUUAG
rnacentral:misc_RNA from 1 species